rnacentral:rRNA from 1 species
GACGAACGCUGGCGGCGUGCCUAAUACAUGCAAGUCGAGCGAAGAUUUUCUGCUGCUUGCACCUGCACAACUUAGCGGCGAACGGGUGACUAACACGUAAAGUACCUUCCUCAUAGACUUGGACAACUAUAGGAGACGAUAGCAACUACCGGAUAACAGCGUUACCUGCUGGGUUGUUGUUUAAUAGUUGGUUUUGCUAACAGUUUGGGAUGGAUUCGCGGUUUAUUAGCUUGUUGGUUGGGGAAAGGUCUACCAAGGCGACGGCGGGUAGCCGGCCUGAGAGGGUGACCGGCCACAUUGGGACUGAGAUACGGCGCAGACUCCUACGGGAGGCAGCAGUGGGGAAUAUUGCACAAGGGGCGGAAGGCUGAUGCAGCAACGCCGCGUGCGGGAUGACGGCCUUAGGGUUGUAAACCGCUUUCGCCUGUGACGAAGCGUGAGUGACGGUAAUGGGUAAAGAAGCACCGGCUAACUACGUG